GCCUUCGUGGUGUAAUGGUCAGCGUACUAAGCGUGUAUUCGAGAGGUCCGAGGUUCGAAUCCUGGCGAGGGCA
rnacentral:tRNA from 1 species